UACGUAGGGACCGAGCGUUGUCCGGAAUCAUUGGGCGUAAAGAGCGUGUAGGCGGCCAGGUAGGUCUGCUGUGAAAACUCGAGGCUCAACCUCGAGACGUCGGCGGAAACCAUCUGGCUAGAGUCCGGAAGAGGAGAGUGGAAUUCCUGGUGUAGCGGUGAAAUGCGCAGAUAUCGGGAAGAACACCCGUGGCGAAGGCGGCACUCUGGGACGGUACUGACGCUGAGACGCGAAAGCGUGGGGAGCGAACGAGG
rnacentral:rRNA from 1 species